rnacentral:rRNA from 1 species
AUACGUAGGUGGCAAGCGUUAUCCGGAUUUACUGGGUGUAAAGGGCGUGUAGGCGGGUCGACAAGUUGGAUGUGAAAUGUACCGGCUCAACCGGUACGCUGCACCCAAAACUGUCGAUCUUGAGUGUUGGAGAGGAUAGUGGAAUUCCUAGUGUAGCGGUAAAAUGCGUAGAUAUUAGGAGGAACACCAGUAGCGAAGGCGGCUUUCUGGACUGUAACUGACACUGAGGCACGAAAGCGUGGGGAGC